rnacentral:rRNA from 1 species
UACGGAGGAUGCAAGCGUUAUCCGGAAUGAUUGGGCGUAAAGCGUCCGCAGGUGGCUGUGUAAGUCUGCUGUUAAAGAGUGAGGCUCAACCUCAUAAAGGCAGUGGAAACUACAUGGCUAGAGUGCGUUCGGGGCAGAGGGAAUUCCUGGUGUAGCGGUGAAAUGCGUAGAGAUCAGGAAGAACACCGGUGGAGAAAGCGCUCUGCUAGGCCGCAACUGACACUGAGGGACGAAAGCUAGGGGAGCGAAUGGG